rnacentral:ribozyme from 1 species
UCGAGCGCAAUCUCGAAAAAUUCAGUUUCACAAGACAUACCUUGAAGAAGCAGAAAAAGGAUAAGAGUAUGAGGAAAAAAUCACGUAGGGUGAUGAUACAGGGUAUUCUAUAUUCGGUAGCUUUGUUAAUUAUCGUAUUUCUUCCAA